rnacentral:rRNA from 1 species
ACGGAAGGCAGCAGUGGGGAAUAUUGGACAAUGGGGGAAACCCUGAUCCAGCGACGCCGCGUGAGUGAAGAAGUAUUUCGGUAUGUAAAGCUCUAUCAGCAAGGAAGAAAAUGACGGUACUUGACUAAGAAGCUCCGGCUAAAUACGUGCCAGCAGCCGCGGUAAUACGUAUGGAGCAAGCGUUAUCCGGAUUUACUGGGUGUAAAGGGAGCGUAGACGGUAAAGCAAGUCUGAAGUGAAAUCCCGGGGCUCAACCCCGGAACUGCUUUGGAAACUGUUUAACUAGAGUGCAGGAGAGGUAAGCGGAAUUCCUAGUGUAGCGGUGAAAUGCGUAGAUAUUAGGAGGAACACCAGUGACGAAGGCGGCUUACUGGACUGUAACUGACGUUGAGGCUCGAAAGCGUGGGGAGCAAACAGGAUUAGAUACCCUGGUA